rnacentral:rRNA from 1 species
GACGUAGGGCGCGAGCGUUGUCCGGAUUUAUUGGGCGUAAAGAGCUCGUAGGCGGUUUGUCACGUCUGCUGUGAAAUCCCGAGGCUCAACCUCGGGCCUGCAGUGGGUACGGGCAGACUGGAGUGCGGUAGGGGAGAAUGGAAUUCCUGGUGUAGCGGUGGAAUGCGCAGAUAUCAGGAGGAACACCGGUGGCGAAGGCGGUUCUCUGGGCCUUACCUGACGCUGAGGAGCGAAAGCGUGGGGAGCAAACAGG